rnacentral:rRNA from 1 species
GACGAACGCUGGCGGCGUGCUUAACACAUGCAAGUCGAACGGGCCCGCCCUCUUUUUUGGGGGUGGGUUGAGUGGCGAACGGGGGGGUACCCCGUGAGUAACCUGCCCCCUCCUCCUGGUUAACUGCGUGAAAGGGCGGCUAAUACGGGGAGUGCCGGCUGGUCCGCAUGGGCGGGGGCGGGGUUGCGUCAUCUUCGGGUGUUUCGGCGGCGGAUGGGCUCGCGGCCGAGCAGGUUGUUGGUGGGGGCGUGGCCCAGCAAGGCGGUGACGGGUAGCCGGCCUGGGAGGGUGGGCGGCCACACUGGGACUGGGACACGGCCCAGACUCCUGCGGGAGGCAGCAGUGGGGGGUAUUGCACAAUGGGCGGACGCCUGAUGCAGCGACGUCGCGUGAGGGAUGGAGGCCUUCGGGUUGUGAACCUCUUUCUCCGGUGGUGAAGGCCCUGUCCGUUGCGGCGGGGUUGACGGUAGCCGGGUAUGAAGCGCCGGCUAACUACGUG